UGCGUAGGUGGUUAUUUAAGUCCGUUGUGAAAGCCCUGGGCUCAACCUGGGAACUGCAGUGGAUACUGGAUGACUAGAAUGUAGUAGAGGGUAGCGGAAUUCCUGGUGUAGCAGUGAAAUGCGUAGAGAUCAGGAGGAACAUCCAUGGCGAAGGCAGCUACCUGGACCAACAUUGACACUGAGGCACGAAAGCGUGGGGAGCAAACA
rnacentral:rRNA from 1 species